UCCGUAGGUGAACCUGCGGAAGGAUCAUUUUAGUAUCUUAUGUUGCCUGCGCUUUAACUAGCGCGGCGACUAAAACCUUACACACAGUGCUUAGUUUUUUCUAACAUUGCUUUGCGUGGAAUAAGCCUAGCUUUUCUGCGCAGAGGUUAUCAAAACACAAGAUUUUUAUAUCUUUUAUUACAAAUUCUAGUCAAGAAGUUUUAUUAAAAACAAAUCUUCAAAACUUUCAACAACGGAUCUCUUGGUUCUCGCAUCGAUGAAGAACGCAGC
rnacentral:misc_RNA from 1 species